ensembl:lncRNA
UAUACUGAGGGUCUGGCUGGAAAUGCCCUCUUCCAGACUAUGUUUUGUUGUUGUCUUUGGACAGUACCAGUUGUUUGAAAGCACCGAAUUACAUUUGUAUAAAUAUACACCGUACUUGCUAAAACAUCUUUUCACAUUAUUGUGCUCUUUUGGAAAUACGAGAUCCAAGCCCUGGAAAGAUGACUCAUCAGGAACAUGUCAGGUCCUGGACAUUGCUGGUAAACAGUCUCGUGUAUUUUGGAUCGUGGCUCUUUUUGUGUUACUGUUCACGCCUUGAAAUCCUCCUCAUCCUCACGGUGGAGGCUAGGAGCAGGCACAAGUAAACAUGUCUUUUCCAGGCAAACUUUCUGUCCAGAAUGGAACAAAAGGAAGCAAACAAACAAGAACAGUUAAAGCUGUCUACGGUCUGCCUGAAGGCUUGUGGAUGCUGGCACCCCGUGGCCUUGGGAUACUGGCAGGCCAUUUUUGGCCAUUUCUCUCCUUGUUUGUUCUUUCUUUCCAUGUUCUUUACUUCAUUUCCUGCCUGCCUUGUUUCCCCCACCCCUUCUUGGAUUCUUUUCUGUUUCUUCUGCUUUUUUUUUCUUUCCCUUUUGCCUUUCCCAUUCUUGGUACGGAUAGCCAGGUAACAUAUGACAAUUCCCACGGCCUUUUUUUUAGCCUGACUAAAUGGCAACCAAGAGCCAAAGAUAGGUUUUAUUCCGACAAGAUUCCAUGCUGGUGACUAUUUCUAAAGAGUUGAAUUGAGGUGUAAAUUUUGUUCUUAAAGGCCUUCCUGGAGUUCCCGUUGUGGCGCAGUGGUUAACAGAAUCCGACUAGGAACCAUGAGGUUGCGGAUUCGAUCCCUGGCCUCGCUCGCAUGGCAUUGCCGUGCGCUGUGGUGUAGGUCACAGACGCAGCUCGGAUCCCUCGUUGCUGUGGCUCUGGUGUAAGCCAGCGGCUACAGCUCCAAUUAGACCCCUAGCCUGGGAACCUCCAUAUGCCGAGGGAGUGGCCCUAGAAAAGGCAAAAAGACAAAAAAUAAAUAAAUAAAUAAAGGCCUUCCUGCCAAAAUUUAGGUAAUCAUAAUCAUGUAGACAAUGAAUUUCAGGAUUCUUUGUAUUUAAAAUUUGAAAUUUUUGGUAAACAAAGAUGUGAUUUGGGUUACAAAAAUGUUUUAUAAAUUGCUUAAGCCGUAACAAAGUUUGAUAUUAAAAAAUGUGACUAAGAUUUGUGUUAAAUACGCAACUAUUACUUAUGCCACUGUCAAGGAUCAGAAGGUAUUUUAGCUCUAAGGGGCUUCAGAGCUAAUUUAAUUCAGUCUUCUUGUUUUAUAGAUGAGACAGUUUAUUUAAUUUUACACACCUGCCUGGUGGCAUAGCUGACUACAAUGAGGUCUUUCACUUCCCUAUUCACUCUCGAUUUUUUUGGACGGAAAGUUAAAUAUAUGAAAUAUGAAAUUUAGAGGUGAAAUGGGCAGAGAAGCCUGGAAAAAUAUAUGCAUUCUAAAUCUAUUUUGACUUUCAUUUGCUAGUUAUGGGGUGUUGGACUGGGUGUGUAACCUCUCUAGAUCUCACUUUUUGGAGGGUUGAACUUUAAGAUCUCUUCCAGGUCUAUGACUUUUACUCAGGUGAGAGAGAUGAAAUAGAUUUAGACUCUUCCUAUUUUACAUUUGUAAAUUUACAAUUUGUGCCAUUUCAACUUGAAUCUUAUUUCAAGAAGCAUUUUUUUUUCCUAUUUUUAGGUAGGUAUCAUUUGUAUUUUUUCCUGUUAGUGAAUCAACUUUUCCUAAGUGUAUUUUUCUUAGAUGCUAUUUUUUUGUCUUAGGCAACAUGAUAGAUGCCUCUGGCAUCACCUUGAUUAACUGAAGUAAACACAUACUCGGAGGCCGGUCUUCCCUAGUUUCAAACUGGUGGAUGAGUUCUGUGCAGGAAUAUUCCACAGAUAGAUGACUUAGAGGUGCUGCCUCCCUCCCCCAAAUUGUUGAGAGUCUGUUACAGUAUUAGAGAGGAAUGUCAUGUAAGUGAGAAGAAUUGACUAUUCUAACUUGUGGAGUUGCUUUAUUUGGGAUUGUGGAACAGGUUUUUCCAUUCUCAGUAGGAUAAUCUGUUAUUGUGUCAGGGAGCAGGCAGGUGUGGCAUUAUCUGGAAGGAUAGGAAAGAUGAGAUGAGUUUAACAUAUUGGAGAAAAAGCUGAGGACACUAGAGAAACUUUUCUAAGAAAACUGAGCUUCGAGACCUUUCCCUCAGUACUUAGCAGGGUUUCCCAUGCUCUUCUUUAUCUGAAGAAACCCAUUCUUUCAGCAGACACUUUUUGAACUGGGUGCUGUGGGAAUUACAAACGAAGUAUUCAUCCAGAGCUUCUUCCUCUAGGCAUUUGCUGUCUAGCUGGGUCCCCAGUGCUUGGUCCUUGAAAAGGUGCAGCGAAUGUCUGAGGACCCCAGAGCGUGGCGAGGGAAGGGAGAAGGGCUCCAGCAGUGGGGGAAGCCCCCAUGGAGCCACGACGUUCCAGCAGUUUGAAGGACCAGUAGUUAAGAAGAGCUAAAGAACUCGUUUUAAUUUUCUCUUGAGAGAGAGAAUGAGGGAUGAAAUUGGGUUAGGUUAAGACACAGGCCUGGGAGUUGGAAAUUCUUAUAUGUUUUAAGGCCAAAAAUAAGGGGACCCUACAGAAGUGCCAGAGCCUUUUUACCCUAUCUUUUCAUUUUGACAUUUUCAAAACUUUGGAAAAAUAGUACCAUGAAUAACUGUAUACCCUUCUUCUAGAUUAAUCGCUUGUUAACAUUUGCCACAGUUGCCUUCAUGCUCUGUGUAUUUAUGUGCUUUGAAUCAAAUGUGGUAUGUAAAUUUGCAUCAUUUUGCUUAACCACUUGAACAUAAGUUGUAGAUACCACGUUUCACCUCCAAAUACCUGCUAAAGAGGACUUUCUUCUAUAUAACCCCAAUAAAAUGGUCAUAUCCAACAAGUUUUUCAUUGCUAUAAUAACAUGAUCUAGUAUAUAGAAAAUAUUUACAUUUGGGAGUGGAGUGUAUAUUUAUUAAUUUUUUAAAAAUAGGAUGGACUUCUCCAGCAAAAUGAAUAUUUAAUGAAUUGUUUGGACAAGAGACUAGGGCCACAGAAACUGGUUUAUACGUUGUUAAAAAGUCCUAUAUAGAACCAUAAAGAUAGAAAAAGGAAGCUCAUUAUAUCCUGAUAUGUUAUACUCUUGGAGAUACAAUCUUAAGAACAAGGCAUAGAAGAGUGUAAAAAAGAAUUUAUGAACAGUUGUGGAUAGCUAGAACGUCUCUGGAAGGUUAAAAAAAACUAAUGGUAUCAUUUCAUUCUCUUAGGAGAAGGAGAGAGGUAGUUGGAGGACAGGGUUGGAGGACAAUAUUUCUCUUUAUGUCCUAAAGAAAUUUGGAGAACCAAACAUGAUGGAGGAUAAUGUGGGAGAAAGAAUAUAUGUAAAUAUAUAUAUAUACAUAUGUGUGUGUGUAUGUCUGGGUGACUUUGCCGUGCCAUAGAAACUGACAGAACACUGUAAAUCAACUAUAAUGGAAAAAAUAAAAAUCAUAAAAUUAUAAAACAAAAACCGAAAAGUCCCGCACCUGUUUUUUUCCAUGUAAACAGAGAGUACUGAAGUACGCAUAUUCAGAGACAGUGGGAAGAGAAUGAAAUGGUGCUGUGGAAUAACAAUGUUGAAUUAACAUAACAAUGUAAAAGUAAGCUGGAUAUUAAGAUGAUUAAAAAAUAAUGUCCAAAUAGC